rnacentral:lncRNA from 1 species
GCGGGGGGCCAGCCGAGCCCGCCGCAGCGCCCACCGCCAGACGCCGGCGGCCCGCGGGCGCAGCGUGACCCGAGAGUGUAUCCCAUCAUUCAAACAGAAAGUUUACUAGAAAACAGUGUGCUGUUUGUACCAGAAGCAGCCUCAUUCCUCUGCAACUCCUGAUUACAUCAUUUCCUCUUGUGCUUGAUAUCGGCUCACUUUAUUCAUCGCAGCUCUCGGAGCUACUGCCACACAUAUACACCAGAGUGCAGUGUGUCAAGCCUGGCAUGGAGAAGUCAAGGUGUGGCUAA